rnacentral:rRNA from 1 species
GAUGAACGCUGGCGGCGUGCCUAAUACAUGCAAGUAGAACGCUGAAGGAGGAGCUUGCUCUUCUGGAUGAGUUGCGAACGGGUGAGUAACGCGUAGGUAACCUGCCUGGUAGCGGGGGAUAACUAUUGGAAACGAUAGCUAAUACCGCAUGACAACAGUUAUUGCAUGAUAACUGUUUAAAAGGGGCAACUGCUCCACUACCAGAUGGCCCUGCGUUGUAUUAGCUAGUUGGUGAGGUAACGGCUCACCAAGGCGACGAUACAUAGCCGACCUGAGAGGGUGAUCGGCCACACUGGGACUGAGACACGGCCCAGACUCCUACGGGAGGCAGCAGUAGGGAAUCUUCGGCAAUGGACGGAAGUCUGACCGAGCAACGCCGCGUGAGUGAAGAAGGUUUUCGGAUCGUAAAGCUCUGUUGUAAGAGAAGAACGAGUGUGAGAGUGGAAAGUUCACACUGUGACGGUUUCUUACCAGAAAGGGACGGCUAACUACGUG